rnacentral:rRNA from 1 species
GAUGAACGCUGGCGGCGUGCUUAACACAUGCAAGUCGAGCGAAGCGGCUGAAUUGAUUCUUCGGAUGAUUUUCAGUUGACUGAGCGGCGGACGGGUGAGUAACGCGUGGGUGACCUGCCCCAUACCGGGGGAUAACAGCUGGAAACGGCUGCUAAUACCGCAUAAGCGCACAGAGCUGCAUGGCUCGGUGUGAAAAACUCCGGUGGUAUGGGAUGGGCCCGCGUCUGGUUAGGCAGUUGGCGGGGUAACGGCCCACCAAACCGACGAUCAGUAGCCGGCCUGAGAGGGCGACCGGCCACAUUGGGACUGAGACACGGCCCAAACUCCUACGGGAGGCAGCAGUGGGGAAUAUUGCACAAUGGGGGAAACCCUGAUGCAGCGACGCCGCGUGAGCGAAGAAGUAUUUCGGUAUGUAAAGCUCUAUCAGCAGGGAAGAUAAUGACGGUACCUGACUAAGAAGCCCCGGCUAACUACGUGCCAGCAGCCGCGGUAAUACGUAGGGGGCAAGCGUUAUCCGGAUUUACUGGGUGUAAAGGGAGCGUAGACGGCAAGGCAAGUCUGAUGUGAAAACCCAGGGCUUAACCCUGGGACUGCAUUGGAAACUGUCUGGCUCGAGUGCCGGAGAGGUAAGCGGAAUUCCUAGUGUAGCGGUGAAAUGCGUAGAUAUUAGGAAGAACACCAGUGGCGAAGGCGGCUUACUGGAC